rnacentral:rRNA from 1 species
AUUGAACGCUGGCGGCAUGCCUUACACAUGCAAGUCGAACGGUAACAGGUCUUCGGAUGCUGACGAGUGGCGAACGGGUGAGUAAUACAUCGGAACGUGCCUAGUAGUGGGGGAUAACUACUCGAAAGAGAGGCUAAUACCGCAUGAGAUCUACGGAUGAAAGCAGGGGAUCGCAAGACCUUGUGCUACUAGAGCGGCCGAUGGCAGAUUAGGUAGUUGGUGGGAUAAAAGCUUACCAAGCCGAUGAUCUGUAGCUGGUCUGAGAGGACGAUGAGCCACACUGGGACUGAGACACGGCCCAGACUCCUACGGGAGGCAGCAGUGGGGAAUUUUGGACAAUGGGCGCAAGCCUGAUCCAGCAAUGCCGCGUGCAGGAUGAAGGCCUUCGGGUUGUAAACUGCUUUUGUACGGAACGAAAAGCCCUGGGUUAAUACCCUGGGGUCAUGACGGUACCGUAAGAAUAAGCACCGGCUAACUACGUGCCAGCCGCCGCAGUAA